rnacentral:misc_RNA from 1 species
GAUGAAGAACGUAGCAAAAUGCGAUAAGUAAUGUGAAUUGCAGAAUUCAGUGAAUCAUCGAAUCUUUGAACGCACAUUGCGCCCGCCAGUAUUCUGGCGGGCAUGCCUGUUCGAGCGUCAUUUCAACCCUCAAGCCCUCGGGUUUGGUGUUGGGGAUCGGCGAGCCUUUCUGGCAAGCCGGCCCCGAAAUCUAGUGGCGGUCUCGCUGCAGCCUCCAUUGCGUAGUAGUAAAACCCUCGCAACUGGAACGCGGCGCGGCCAAGCCGUUAAACCCCCAACUUCUGAAUGUUGACCUCGGAUCAGGUAGGAAUACCCGCUGAACUUAAGCAUAUCAAUAAGCGAAGGA